rnacentral:rRNA from 1 species
AUGCUUAAGGAGGGGCUUGCGACACAUUAGUUAGUUGGCAGGGUAAAGGCCUACCAAGACUAUGAUGUGUAGCUGGACUGAGAGGUUGAACAGCCACAUUGGGACUGAGACACGGCCCAAACUCCUACGGGAGGCAGCAGUAGGGAAUUUUCGGCAAUGGAGGAAACUCUGACCGAGCAACGCCGCGUGAACGAUGAAGUACCUCGGUAUGUAAAGUUCUUUUAUUAAGGAAGAAAAAAGAGUGGAAAAACUCCCUUGACGGUACUUAAUGAAUAAGCCCCGGCUAAUUAUGUGCCAGCAGCCGCGGUAAUACAUAAGGGGCGAGCGUUAUCCGGAAUUAUUGGGCGUAAAGGGUGCGUGGGCGGUUUAAUAAGUCUAUAGUUUAAUUUCAGUGCUUAACGCUGUUGUGCUAUAGAAACUGUUUUACUAGAGUGAGAUAGAGGCAAGCGGAAUUCCAUGUGUAGCGGUAAAAUGCGUAAAUAUAUGGAGGAACACCAGAGGCGUAGGCGGCUUGCUGGGUCUUUACUGACGCUGAGGCACGAAAGCGUGGGGAGCAAACAGGAUUAGAUACCCUGGUAGUCCACGCCGUAAACGAUGAGUACUAAGUGUCGGGUAAAACUGGUACUGAAGUUAACACAUUAAGUACUCCGCCUGAGUAGUACGUACGCAAGUAUGAAACUUAAAGGAAUUGACGGGACUCCGCACAAGCGGUGGAUCAUGUUGUUUAAUUCGAAGAUACACGAAAAACCUUACCAGGUCUUGACAUUUUCUUGCGAAGUUAUAGAAAUAUAAUGGAGG